rnacentral:rRNA from 1 species
UACGUAGGGGGCGAGCGUUGUCCGGAAUUAUUGGGCGUAAAGAGCGUGUAGGCGGUUCGGUAAGUCUGCCGUGAAAACCCGAGGCUUAACCUCGUGGCUUGCGGUGGAUACGGGCAGACUAGAGGUAGGUAGGGGAGAACGGAAUUCCCGGUGUAGCGGUGAAAUGCGCAGAUAUCGGGAGGAACACCGGUGGCGAAGGCGGUUCUCUGGGCCUUACCUGACGCUGAGGAGCGAAAGCAUGGGGAGCGAACAGG